CUGGCUCAGGACGAACGCUGGCGGCGUGCCUAAUACAUGCAAGUAGAACGCUGAGGACUGGUGCUUGCACUGGUCUAAGGAGUUGCGAACGGGUGAGUAACGCGUAGGUAACCUACCUCAUAGCGGGGGAUAACUAUUGGAAACGAUAGCUAAUACCGCAUGACAAUAGGGUACACAUGUACCCUAUUUAAAAGGGGCAAAUGCUUCACUAUGAGAUGGACCUGCGUUGUAUUAGCUAGUUGGUAAGGUAACGGCUUACCAAGGCGACGAUACAUAGCCGACCUGAGAGGGUGAUCGGCCACACUGGGACUGAGACACGGCCCAGACUCCUACGGGAGGCAGCAGUAGGGAAUCUUCGGCAAUGGGGGGAACCCUGACCGAGCAACGCCGCGUGAGUGAAGAAGGUUUUCGGAUCGUAAAGCUCUGUUGUUAGAGAAGAACGGUAAUGGGAGUGGAAAAUCCAUUACGUGACGGUAACUAACCAGAAAG
rnacentral:rRNA from 1 species